rnacentral:rRNA from 1 species
UACAGAGGUCCCAAGCGUUGUUCGGAUUCAUUGGGCGUAAAGGGUGCGUAGGUGGCGCCGUAAGUCGGGUGUGAAAUUUCGGAGCUUAACUCCGAAACUGCAUUCGAUACUGCGGUGCUUGAGGACUGGAGAGGAGACUGGAAUUCUGGUGUAGCAGUGAAAUGCGUAGAGAUCAUGAGGAAGACCAGUGGCGAAGGCGGGUCUCUGGACAGUUCCUGACACUGAGGCACGAAGGCCAGGGGAGCAAACGGG